rnacentral:snoRNA from 1 species
UUGUCCUGGCCUAUGGUUUUUCUGCUCCCCUGUGCUCAGCUCAAACGGGAGAGUCAGUAGCAGGACACACAGUAAUCUCCCUCUCAGUUUAGGAGGGCCAUCCUAAGAAUAGGACUGGCUCUUAAAGGCACGAGAGGACAUU